rfam:Macleaya cordata isolate BLH2017 scaffold6641, whole genome shotgun sequence.
GGGUGCGAUCAUACCAGCACUAAUGCACCGGAUCCCAUCAGAACUCCGCAACUAAGCGUGCUUGGGCGAGAGUAGUACUAGGAUGGGUGACCUCCUAGGAAGUCCUCGUGUUGCACCCC